rnacentral:rRNA from 1 species
GAUGAACGCUGACAGAAUGCUUAACACAUGCAAGUCUACUUGAAUUUGGGUUUUUAACUUAGGUUUGGGUGGCGGACGGGUGAGUAACGCGUAAAGAACUUGCCUCACAGCUAGGGACAACAUUUAGAAAUGAAUGCUAAUACCUAAUAUUAUGAUAAUAGGGCAUCCUAUAAUUAUGAAAGCUAUAUGCGCUGUGGGAGAGCUUUGCGUCCCAUUAGCUAGUUGGAGAGGUAACGGCUCACCAAGGCGAUGAUGGGUAGCCGGCCUGAGAGGGUGAUCGGCCACAAGGGGACUGAGACACGGCCCUUACUCCUACGGGAGGCAGCAGUGGGGAAUAUUGGACAAUGGACCGAGAGUCUGAUCCAGCAAUUCUGUGUGCACGAUGAAGUUUUUCGGAAUGUAAAGUGCUUUCAGUUGGGAAGAAAGAAAUGACGGUACCAACAGAAGAAGUGACGGCUAAAUACGUGCCAGCAGCCGCGGUAAUACGUAUGUCACGAGCGUUAUCCGGAUUUAUUGGGCGUAAAGCGCGUCUAGGUGGUUAUAUAAGUCUGAUGUGAAAAUGCAGGGCUCAACUCUGUAUUGCGUUGGAAACUGUAUAACUAGAGUACUGGAGAGGUAAGCGGAACUACAAGUGUAGAGGUGAAAUUCGUAGAUAUUUGUAGGAAUGCCGAUGGGGAAGCCAGCUUACUGGACAGAUACUGACGCUGGAGCGCGAAAGCGUGGGUAGCAAACAGG